rnacentral:rRNA from 1 species
AUUGAACGCUGGCGGCAUGCCUUACACAUGCAAGUCGAACGGCAGCAUGACGUGUAGCAAUACACGUUGAUGGCGAGUGGCGAACGGGUGAGUAAUAUAUCGGAACAUGUCCUGUAGCGGGGGAUAACCUAUCGAAAGAUGGACUAAUACCGCAUACGCUCUAUGGAGGAAAGCGGGGGUCGCAAGACCUCGCACUAUAGGAGUGGCCGANAUCGGAUUAGCUAGUUGGCGGGUAAAGCCCACCAAGGCGACGAUCCGUAGCUGGUCUGAGAGGAUGAUCAGCCACACUGGAACUGAGACACGGUCCAGACUCCUACGGGAGGCAGCAGUGGGAAUUUUGGACAAUGGGCGCAAGCCUGAUCCAGCCAUGCCGCGUGAGUGAAGAAGGCC